UUUAAAGAGAGUUUGAUCCUGGCUCAGGACGAACGCUGGCGGCGUGCCUAAUACAUGCAAGUCGAACGAACGGAGGAAGAGCUUGCUCUUCCAAAGUUAGUGGCGGACGGGUGAGUAACACGUGGGCAACCUGCCUGUAAGUUGGGGAUAACUCCGGGAAACCGGGGCUAAUACCGAAUGAUAAAGUGUGGCGCAUGCCACGCUUUUGAAAGAUGGUUUCGGCUAUCGCUUACAGAUGGGCCCGCGGUGCAUUAGCUAGUUGGUAGGGUAAUGGCCUACCAAGGCAACGAUGCAUAGCCGACCUGAGAGGGUGAUCGGCCACACUGGGACUGAGACA
rnacentral:rRNA from 1 species